rnacentral:tRNA from 1 species
CGAAAUCGGUAGACGCUACGGACUUAAAAUCCGUCGAAUUUUUCAAUCGUGAGGGUUCAAGUCCCUCUAUCCC